UGUGGAGGGAAAAGCUUGGUUUGUGGGAGCACCCGAGCUCAGUUUGGCUCAAAGGUUUGGGAUACCUAUUAUUGAGUGGCAGUGAUGGUAUGUUGUUAAUGUACAAUAUGUUCCUGUAUAUAGCAUACGUCUAUGCUCAUCAGAUAUUUUCAGGUAAAAAAAAGAUAGUCUUUCCAGUAGUUUGAGCCAUUAUAGCAAUUUCCACCAGGGGAUUUCAAAGUCCAAUUCCAGUUGUGGGCAACAGUGAUUAACAUAAUGGUAAUUAAUGAGAAGAGAUUUUGAGACGUCCAGCCACGUUUCCAUGUCAGUGCCUUGUUUGCAGUAUUAUGAAGAAAGCGUGCAUUGGACUAGAUACUAAGAAAAACAUUGAAUUAUUUUUCUUGCCUCUAUAACAUCAAAG
rnacentral:lncRNA from 10 species